rnacentral:rRNA from 1 species
UGGCUCAGAACGAACGCUGGCGGCAUGCCUAACACAUGCAAGUCGAACGAACCCUUCGGGGUUAGUGGCGCACGGGUGCGUAACGCGUGGGAAUCUGCCCUUUGCUUCGGAAUAACAGUUAGAAAUGACUGCUAAUACCGGAUGAUGUCUUCGGACCAAAGAUUUAUCGGCAAGGGAUGAGCCCGCGUAGGAUUAGGUAGUUGGUGGGGUAAAGGCCUACCAAGCCGACGAUCCUUAGCUGGUCUGAGAGGAUGAUCAGCCACACUGGGACUGAGACACGGCCCAGACUCCUACGGGAGGCAGCAGUGGGGAAUAUUGGACAAUGGGCGCAAGCCUGAUCCAGCAAUGCCGCGUGAGUGAUGAAGGCCUUCGGGUCGUAAAGCUCUUUUACCAGGGAUGAUAAUGACAGUACCUGGAGAAUAAGCUCCGGCUAACUCCGUGCCAGCAGCCGCGGUAAUACGGAGGGAGCUAGCGUUGUUCGGAAUUACUGGGCGUAAAGCGCACGUAGGCGGCUACUCAAGUCAGAGGUGAAAGCCCGGGGCUCAACCCCGGAACUGCCUUUGAAACUAGGUAGCUGGAAUCUUGGAGAGGUCAGUGGAAUUCCGAGUGUAGAGGUGAAAUUCGUAGAUAUUCGGAAGAACACCAGUGGCGAAGGCGACUGACUGGACAAGUAUGACGCU